GGGCGCAGGGAGGAAGUGGGGCAGGAAGCAGGGGCGGGGGCGGCUGCGGUGCCGUCAGCGGGCUGUGGGCGGCCGCUGCCCCUGGCCGGCGGAGACCAGGGUCAGAAACAGCCACCUGGUGCCCGGGGUCCUGCAGCUGGUGGCCCGGGGGCGGCCUGAGGAGCUGAGCACAGGGGCCAGCCCGGCAUGUCCCGCCCCCGGCGCUGAGGCCACUGAGGGUCAUGGAGGGCCCGGUGGAGGUGGCCGCUGAGGAGCCGGCCCCGACAGGGAGGGGUCUCACGGGGUCUUCCGGAGGCAGCGGCGGUGGCAAGGUCCGGAGAGUGGCCGUGAGCGCCUCGGUCGUCUGGGAGAAAGCAGGUCCGGAGGAGGCCAAGGCCGCCGUCGGAGAGGAUGCAGCUCCCAGCCCUGGUGCCUCUCAGCCGGCUGCCGGACCCUCUCCUGGCCAGAUGGGAUCGUACCCCACAGACCUGACCCUGCAGCUGCUGGCCGUGCGCAGGAAGAGCGGACUCCCGGACCCCGGCCUGCAGCGGGCCCUGCGGGGCCGGCUCCGCCUGCUGGAGAACGACAGCUGGGAGGUGGCCCGCGCCCUGGGGGAGCUGUCCGCCAGGCUGCUGUCCAUCCACAGCGACCAGGAUCGGAUCGUGGUGACGUUUAAGACUUUUGAAGAAAUCUGGAAGUUUUCCACCUACCAUGCUCUUGGCUUCACGCCUCACUGCCUGGAAAACCUGCUCGUGGACCAGACCUUCUGGCUGCUGGCACCGGACGAGGACGAGGAGACAGCCAUCCAAGUCCACGUGGACGAGGAGGCCUUGAGGCUGACGCACGAGAGCCUGCUCGUGCAGGAAGGGCCCUUCUUUGUCCUGUGUGCUGACCACCACGUGAGAGUGGCCACUGGCCCCCAGCCCCCCAGGCGGGCUGCAGCGGGUCCCCACGCUGAGGCAGCCCAGACAGUGGACUCAUCGGCCCCCCGCCCGCGCACAUCCUCGGAGGAGAGGGCAGCAGUGGCCACUCCUGAGCCUUUGAUUCCGUUCCAUCAGUGGGCCCUUCGGGUGCCCUGGGACCCCAUCAACGACUCCAUGGGUGGACCUGUGACGCUGGACAUCCAGCCGAUGGCCGUGGGCAUGGCCUCGGCCGUGGCAGACUGCCAGGGCUCCGCGCCCGAAGAGAUGACCUUCCAGGGUGGUGACCACAUCGAGAUCCUGGGUGCCCAGGUGCCCGGCCUGCCGUGGUGUGUGGGCCGGCACGCGGCCUCCGGCCAGGUCGGGUUUGUGCGGACGAGUCUCAUCCGUUUGCAGGGCCAAGCGUCUGACUUGGAAAAUAUGAUUUUUCUCGAUGAAGAGGAGAGGUCUUUCUUCAGCAGUGAAGGACGUUUUUCAGAGGAGGACGCCAGGCAGCUCCUGAGCAGGGUGUCGGGCAAGGACGUCUGUGCUGUGUACAGCUUGNNNNNNNNNNNNNNNNNNNNNNNNNNNNNNNNNNNNNNNNNNNNNNNNNNNNNGAAGAAUGUUCUAGAACAAUGCAAGUCCUGCCAGGGCCUCCCCGAGGAGCCAGGGUCCUGGGGUGUCCAUAGAGCAUCCAGUGGUUCGAGCUCGCCAGACACCGAGGAGCCCUCCUUCCUCCUGGACGCCGGGGACGCCUGGGCUGACCCGGAGGCCCUGGGCUCGCUGCUGCGGUUCCUGGACGCGCCCGGGUUCGAGGCCCGCUUCCGUGGCCUGUACAGCCUCUCCCUGCCGCGACUGAGCAGAGUGUUCUGUGGCUUCACUGAUGAGGAGGAGCUGGCCGGGCGCCUGGCCCAGGCCCGGGGGGCGGCCAAGAAGGCCGAGCUGCCCAUGGCGCUCGCCAGGCUCUGCUUCCUCCUGGGACGGCUGUGCGUGCGGCGGCUGAAGCUGUCCCAGGCCCGGGUGUACUUCGAGGAAGCCCUGGGGGCGCUGGGGGGCCGCUUUGGCGACCUCUUCCUGGCAGUGGCCUUGUACACCAACCUGGCCUCUGUCCACCUGCGGCAGAAGAACCGGGAGAAGUGUGAACAGCUGGUGCCCAAGGCCUUGGCCCUGCUGCUGGGGACGCCUGGCCACGUCGGCACCGAGGCCGAGGCGGGACUCCUGAGGCUGGCCCUGCGGCGGGCCAUCUGCGGCCACAGCCUGCAGGCCGAGGCCCGGGCCUGCUUCCUGCUGGCCAAGCACCACACCUGCCUCAAGCAGCCCGAGGAGGCCCUGCCCUUCCUGGAGCGGCUGCUGCUGCUGCUGGGGACCUCGGCGUCCCCGCGCGCCUCGUGGCCCAUGAACUGCUACCUGCUCCUGGCGGACGCCUACAGCCGCAAGUGCCUGCCGCACCUGGCGCUGGGCUGCGUCAAGGUGGCCUCGCUGCGGGCACAGGGCUCGCUGGCCAGCGCCCUCUGGAGCGCGGCCCUGGUCCUGCAGAACUGCCCCCGGCUCCACCGCCUCCCCUCCCAGCUCGCCCACUACCUCAGGCAGGCGCUGGCCUCCCCGGCCUCGGCCCCGGAGCGGACGCUGCACGGCCCCCUCUAUGCCAGCCUGGCCCGGCUGCACAGCCAGCAUGGCCAGCACGGCAGGGCCAUCGCCCUCAUGACACGGGCCGCGGAAAUGGAUGCCCAGACUGGCGGCCGCAGGGUCGUGGACCACCUGGUGGCCCUCGCCUGGCUGCACGUGCUUCACAGGCAAAGCCCGCUGGCCCUGGCCAUCCUGGAGUCCAUCCUGGAGGCGGCGGCGGCCACCCUGGACCAGGAGGGGGUGAUCGCCAACAUGACAGCCAUCGCCCUGAAGAGGACAGGCCGGACCCGGCGGGCGGCCGAGGGCUACUACCGCGCCCUGCGUGUCGCCAGGCGCCUGGGCCACGCGCGGAACCAGGCCGUGGUCCUGGCCAACUUCGGGGCCCUGUGCCUGCAGGCGGGCGCCGGCGGACUGGCCCAGCACUACUUCCUGGAGUCUGUGAAGCUCUUCUCGCGGCUGCCCAGCGGCGAGUGCGGCCCCGACUUCACGCAGGUGCUCCUGCGGCUGGGCCAGCUGUGCACGCGCAGGGCCCUGGCGCGGCAGGGCAAGUGCUACUACGAGUGGGCCUUUCUGGUGGCCGUGGAGGGGGACCAUCUCGAGAGCCAGCUGCAGGCCGUUCAGCGGCUGUGUCACUUCUACAGCACAGUCAUGCCCAGCGAGGCCCAGUGUGUCGUCUACCACGAGUUCCAGCUCUCGCUGGCCCGCAGGGUGGCCGACAAGGCACUGGAGGGGCAGCUCCUGGAGACCAUCAGCCAGCUCUACUUGUCCCUGGGCACUGAGCGGGCCUACAAAUCGGCGCUGGACUAUACCAAGCGCAGCCUGGGGGUGUUCAUUGACCUCCAGCAGAAGGACAAGGAGGCACAGGCCUGGCUGCAGGCGGGGAAGAUCUACUACAUCCUGCAGCAGAACGAGCUGGUGGACUUGUACAUCCAGGUGGCACAGAAUGCGGCCCUGUACACCGGGGACCCCAGCCUGGGGCUGCAGCUCUUUGAGGCAGCUGGCGACAUCUUCUUCAACGGGACCUGGGAGCGUGAGAAAGCCGUGUCCUUCUACCGGGACCGGGCGCUGCCCCUGGCCACGACCACAGGGAACCAGGAGGCGGAGCUGCGGCUGUGCAACAAGCUGGUGGCACUGCUGGCAGAGAUGGAGGUGCCUCAGGAGGGCCUGGAGUUCGCCCACACGGCCCUGGCGCUCAGCAUCACCCUGGGGGACCGGCUGAACGAGCGAGUGGCCUACCACCGGCUGGCCGCCCUGCACCACCGGCUGGGCCAAGGCGAGCUGGCCGAGCACUUCUACCUCAAGGCGCUCUCGCUCUGCUCCUCGCCGCUGGAGUUUGACGACGAGACGCUGUACUACGUGAAGGUGUACCUGGCGCUGGGCGACAUCAUUUUCUAUGACCUCAAGGACCCGCUGGACGCGGCCGGGUACUACCAGCUGGCCCUGGCGGCAGCCGUGGACCUGGGCAACAAGAAGGCACAGAUGAAGAUCUAUACGCGCCUGGCCGCCAUCUACCACAACUUCCUCCUGGACCGCGAGAAGUCCCUCUUCUUCUACCAGAAGGCCCGGACCUUCGCCACCGAGCUCAACAUCCGCCGGGGCCACCUGGCCCCUGGGCGGUGCUGCGGGCGGGCACCCUGGCUGGUCCCCGGGCCCCCGCCCUGAGCCCUGAGAGCCGUGGUCUCCUUCUGUGCCUGUGUUUCCAGCGGGACGCGCCUCCUGGGAAGAGGAGGCAUGAGGGCAGGGGUCAGAUAGUAAUAAAUAUUUUUGCAGAAACCUGG
rnacentral:lncRNA from 1 species